rnacentral:rRNA from 1 species
AUUGAACGCUGGCGGCAGGCCUAACACAUGCAAGUCGAACGAGUGGCGGACGGGUGAGUAAUGUCUGGGAAACUGCCCGAUGGAGGGGGAUAACUAGGGGAAACGGUAGCUAAUACCGCAUACCAUCGGAUGUGCCCAGGUGGGAUUAGCUAGUAGGUGGGGUAACGGCUCACGAAGGCGACGAUCCCUAGCUGGUCUGAGAGGGUGACCAGCCACACUGGAACUGAGACACGGUCCAGACUCCUACGGGAGGCAGCAGUGGGGAAUAUUGCACAAUGGGCGCAAGCCUGAUGGAGCCAUGCCGCGUGUAUGAAGAAGGCCUUCGGGUUGUAAAGUACUUUCAGCGAGGAGGCGUUACUCACAGAGGAAGCACCGGCUAACUCCGUGCCAGCAGCCGCGGUAAUUC